AGAUCUGCAACAAACUAUUAUUUGAAGUAGGAAGGAGGUAGACAAUUGCAAAACAAUGUUCCACACAGCUAGCCCCUAGAACUUAAUGAAGCAUCCAAAUGAUUGCUAGCAUGUGAAGAUUUGAAAGCAUAAUAAACAAUCAUCCCUAAACCCCUUUUCCCCUUUGUGAAUUCUCCUAGGGUAUUAUUACCACAUAAUCAGCAGGUACUUACAUUCCUAUAACUGCGACCAGAUAAGAGAACUAAAGCUCGUGAGAAUUAGAAGCGAUAUUAAUCGCAAUGAGUUAUCAGGAUUGCCAAAAUGGACUAAUGGACAGGGAUCAAGUCAAAAUUCAGGACGCAGAACACAAUCAACUGCUUAAGAAUCCAUCAAAUAUUACAAUCAGCAUACAAACGAAGCAAUUUGAAUCAGUAUAAACAGCAAUCACCUCCUGAAACGUGAACUUCUCGUGCCACAAGAGUGCCAGCACGAAGCUCCCACCAACGAGGAAAUAGUGACGGAAGGUAU
rnacentral:lncRNA from 1 species